GAUGAACGCUGGCGGCGUGCCUAAUACAUGCAAGUCGAGCGAACGGACGAGGAGCUUGCUCCUCUGACGUUAGCGGCGGACGGGUGAGUAACACGUGGAUAACCUACCUAUAAGACUGGGAUAACUUCGGGAAACCGGAGCUAAUACCGGAUAAUAUUUUGAACCGCAUGGUUCAAUAGUGAAAGACGGUCUUGCUGUCACUUAUAGAUGGAUCCGCGCCGCAUUAGCUAGUUGGUAAGGUAACGGCUUACCAAGGCAACGAUGCGUAGCCGACCUGAGAGGGUGAUCGGCCACACUGGAACUGAGACACGGUCCAGACUCCUACGGGAGGCAGCAGUAGGGAAUCUUCCGCAAUGGGCGAAAGCCUGACGGAGCAACGCCGCGUGAGUGAUGAAGGUCUUCGGAUCGUAAAACUCUGUUAUUAGGGAAGAACAAAUGUGUAAGUAACUGUGCACGUCUUGACGGUACCUAAUCAGAAAGCCACGGCUAACUACGUG
rnacentral:rRNA from 1 species